GAUGAACGCUAGCGACAGGCCUAACACAUGCAAGUCGAGGGGCAGCAUGAAAGUAGCUUGCUACUUUUGAUGGCGACCGGCGCACGGGUGCGUAACAGGUGUGCAAUCUGUCCAUAAUCGGGGAAUAGCCCAGCGAAAGUUGGAUUAAUGCUCCAUGUGAGUUUUAGAGGCAUCUCUUUAACUUGAAACGUAAGGAUUAUGGGUGAGCACGCUUCUGAUUAGGUAGUUGGUGAGGUAACGGCUCACCAAGCCAACGAUCAGUAGGGGUUCUGAGAGGAAGGUCCCCCACAUUGGAACUGAGACACGGUCCAAACUCCUACGGGAGGCAGCAGUGAGGAAUAUUGGUCAAUGGACGCAAGUCUGAACCAGCCAAGUCGCGUGAAGGAUGAAGGUUCUAUGGAUUGUAAACUUCUUUUGUCUGAGGGUAAAAAAGCGGACGUGUCCGUUCUUGCAAGUAUCAGACGAAUAAGCAUCGGCUAACUCCGUGCCAGCCGCCGCUGUAAUAC
rnacentral:rRNA from 1 species